rnacentral:piRNA from 1 species
UUCCGUCUGAUACGGCGACUCGCUCGCUU